CUGAUUUAUCAGUGCUCCGCUCAGCCAUGUUUUCAUGUCGGCACCAACAUUUCCUGUGCUAUUAUCUCUACCUACAGUCAGUCAUCCAUCGCAAUCAACAUCAACUUGCUAAUCCAUGGCUGUUUCCGAUUAACUAAGGGGAAAUUUGAAGAGGUUUGAAUCGACCGCAAUCGACAUCAAACUUGCUAUUCUGUAGCUAUUUCCGAUGAACUAAGCUAAAAAAAGGAACUAAUCAUUGCAAUUCCAUAGCUAUUUCUAAUGAACUGUGUCGAAAAUGAAGUAAAACGAAUUUCAACAGGGGAAAUUUGAACAGCAGUUUACGGAUAAUUGAUUGAAUCGACUGGUUCAAAUUCAACUACUGUUUUUCCCCAAAUAUCUCUUCACUGAAAAGGACCAAGCACGGAUUAAAGGCCUAAAUCCGCGUGCACAGUGUUUUUGUGUUAUUGCGGAAAUUUUAAGCUAAAGCAAAAGGGGAAAAAAUUAGGGCAAAAAAGGAACCAUACCCUUGGGAUUCUGCGAGACGGAGAGAGUCCAGCUCAACUGGUCGAUCGAAAGGUCCAUCAAAUCGAGGCAAUCGGAAACGGCAUUACUCAGGCGGAAAUCACCGAAAACGCCGGCGUAUUGAGACACCAUGGAGAUGACGUCUCGCAUUAUGCCAAUCGUCAUUCUGACCGAAUCUACAAAUUCCGACGCCGGAACCUUCAAGCUCAACGUCGUAUCGCCGGAAUCGUACCGCCGAGCACUGGCACCACACAGAAAAGCUGCUAAAAGUAGAAAUUUCAACAAAGCGGA